rnacentral:rRNA from 1 species
AAUGAACGCUGGCGGCAGGCCUAAAACAUGCAAGUCGAACGCCCUAGCAAUAGGGAGUGGCGCACGGGUGAGUAACAUGUGGGAAUAUGCCUUUUGGUACGGAACAACGUUUGGAAACGAACGCUAAUACCGUAUGGUCCCUCCGGGGUAAAGAUUUAUCGCCAAAAGAUUAGCCCGCACUAGAUUAGCUAGUUGGUAAGGUAAUGGCUUACCAAGGCGACGAUCUAUAGCUGUUCUGAGAGGAAGAUCAGCCACACUGGGACUGAGACACGGCCCAGACUCCUACGGGAGGCAGCAGUUAGGAAUAUUGGACAAUGGGCGCAAGCCUGAUCCAGCCAUGCCGCGUGAGUGACGAAGGCCUUCGGGUUGUAAAGCUCUUUUGGCGGGGACGAUAAUGACGGUACCCGCAGAAUAAGCUCCGGCUAACUUCGUGCCAGCCGCCGCGGUAAUAC